UCCGGCGACUCCGGCCACCGUUUGGGGUGCAUGUGGCGAGGACUGACCUUGAUUGAAGUUAAUGUCUGGAAAUUUCGAGUUGGUGACUGUCAGAUCGUACUUCAUCACUAGUUGAGCUUCGUCGAGUUUCCGGAAAACGUUGAGGAUCAAAAUAAGAUUGUCAAUCAAAUUGGAGAAUCAUCUCUCAAGAUUGGAUUGCAGCUU